rfam:Camelus ferus unplaced genomic scaffold scaffold86, whole genome shotgun sequence.
CCAAAGGCUCUUUUCAGAGCCACUGCCUGCUCUCCAAGGGUGCUGU